AAAAGUUCCUUUGUGUUGUGCUGUUUUUAUUUUGCAUUCAUUUUAACUCUACCAAAAAAAUACUUGGUGCUAGCAAUGCUGUCGUGUUAGCAUUCAGCUAGCUAACCUGCAGCCAACAUGUUGCUCCAUCUCUCCACCUGUGUCACCUCAAACUACAGGCCUCGCGCUGGAGGUUCUUACUCCUGGGGACCAACUCCUGAAACUCCCCCAAAGGAUUCCCUCCCAGUUCUUCACUUCACCAAGUCCAAAACCCAAAGAUGAAGAGAGACCGUGUGACCUGUGUUGGAGCUGGGCUGCCGUCUCCAUUACUAUAGGCUUUCCUGGUGUCUGUGACGUUCGCUGAGGGAAAACAGAUGCUGACCCGUCUCUUACACCUAAAGAGGAAGGAAAAGACUGGUGCGCAGACAAACAAGAAUUGCCGCGGGAGACAACAGAAACCCCAAUCGACCCGCUGGAGUGUGCAGGGCACGGCAUGUGUGUUUAAGAGUGAGCACAAGUGUGUGUUUGUUUGCUUGAGUGAUUUCUAUUCGUAGGUUCCCCCUUAUAAUGCAAGCAAGCCUGUUCUUUACCUGUACAGAAGAUGGAUGCUUUUGGUGUUCAAACAUGUCAUCGGAGGUUACGAGAAGCGAAAGCUUAAAAACUUUGAAAAGUUCAUCUCCUGGGCCCAUUUCAGCUUUCCCUCAGGGAUAGCUUUGCAGGUAAUGGCCUCAAGCUUUACCAUCCAUCUGACAAGUAAAAUGGAUGGAAAGAAAAACGUGGUACACGGGACUCAAACAUCAAUUGCAACCUUGUCUUAGGUUGUGAUGUCAAUCAGGGAGGUGAGAGUGAAGGUGAAGAGCUGACAAGAAAUACUUUUUGGACAGAAACGUGUUCGCCAGCUCUGAACUCACUUUUCCCCUCGUUCAAGGUGUAGUUUUUGACAGGGUGCCUGUUAUGGCGUGGCUGUGAUUUGAGGUGAGCAGCACGUCACUGUGUCUCUACAUCGGUAAGGGCCAAUGCCAAAAUCGUCAGAUUGUGUGAAACUACUGCAUAGAUAUGACUUCAGUUUAAAUGUGAAACUGAGGCGUGAACUUAUCUAGACAUUACCCGGGGAAGCUGUGUGUGAGAACGCAAAGGUCUCUGUAAUGUCUGAUUGAGCCCGUGUGUCAAGAGAGCAUGUCAUUUCCUGGCAAUUUCAAAAGCGAGGGAGUGGGGGCGUGUUCAUGAUGUUUCUAUCUGUCGGCUGGCGCAAAAUUGGAAGAAAACAAACAUCUGAGGUUGAAGAAGGGUCAAGAACACACCAAUUAAAAUGUCGAACUGGAGAGACGACUAGAUUUGGGAACUUCUGUCAGUAAGGGCCAAUGACGAAAUCAUCAGACAAAUUCAAUGAACGGCAAGAGACUCAGUUGUUAAUGACCAAACUACAAACCAGCUACUUGGCUGCGGUGUAACCGAUGUUAUCUGGUACUUUCCUGCACGCUCUGCUCAGACCCCAUGCCACGCCUCAACCAAUCAGACUAUUUCCAGAAGGGGUGAGAAUGACACCGGACAUGACACUGUUGUGGGAAACGGCAAUGUACAGAGAAACCGGUCCGGACAUCAAACAUGUUUAAGCAGAGAGUUAAGCUCUUGCCGUCACUUCACUGCCGUCUCCAUUAUCCCCACUUUGCUAUGAUGUGUCCUCUCUCUCUAACCAACCAUAAGAUAUUUCGAUAUUUCCCCCUCGCCCCCACUCCUCCAUCCGAGGUCUUCUCCUUCAAUCUGACAGCUACAUGACUGUGUGAAUGGUAUGGCUGGACUUAGCCUGUAUCAUUGUAUUGGACUGAAGGUGAAAGGGGCAACUAUAAUUUCCCGUCUCCCACAUUGUAUAUGUGUGUGAUCGCCGGGCAGUGAAGUGUAAUGAGGGAGAGACGGGCUGCUUGCUGUCAGUGAGAUCUGAGCUCUGGAUUGGCUGAUCAGUGGUCCAGAAGCUUGGAUCGUACACCGCACAGCUCAUCUCGAGGAGGACUUUAACCUGAGCAUGCGUAAGAGACCUCUGUGCGUGUGUUUAUGACGGUCAGCUCUCUCAUCCUCCCUCCUUCAGUCUUUUACAUAUUAUCUCCAUGUCUCUGUAUCUGUCCCACUCUCUGACCAUAAGUGUAUGUAUCUUUUUUGGCUCCUUUUCUAUGUUGGUUUGCCAGUUUUUCCUGGCUUGAUAUGGGUUCUUGAAGGCCAACAUUUUUAUUUUUAAGCUGCCAAUGAAGAAUUUUGUGUUUCUCUCAGAAAUGUAAUCUUUAAAGCAAUGGAGAGUUAACAUCCAACUACAGGACGGAUGAGGACACUAAUGAUGACGUGUGACCCACCAACAUGUCCCAAGA